rnacentral:ncRNA from 1 species
UAUAUAUAAACUGAGCAGGCGAUAACCGCAUGGCGGUUGUGGGCCGGGCCGCAUCACGAAGGCGGCAGCAGAGAGCAGUGAAUGCAUCUGUGGGACAGUA